UACAGAGGGUGCAAGCGUUGUUCGGAAUUACUGGGCGUAAAGGGUGCGUAGGCGGCCUGACAAGUCUGAUGUGAAAUCCCUGGGCUCAACCCAGGGCCUGCAUCGGAAACUGUCGGGCUUGAGUAUGGGAGAGGUGAGUGGAAUUUCCGGUGUAGCGGUGAAAUGCGUAGAUAUCGGAAGGAACACCUGUGGCGAAAGCGGACUCGCUGGACCAUUACUGACGCUGAGGCACGAAAGCUAGGGGAGCAACAGG
rnacentral:rRNA from 1 species